rnacentral:rRNA from 1 species
UGUUUCGGCUAGGGGGCCAUCCCGGCUUACCAACCCGAUGCAAACUGCGAAUACCGGAGAAUGUUAUCACGGGAGACACACGGCGGGUGCUAACGUCCGUCGUGAAGAGGGAAACAACCCAGACCGCCAGCUAAGGUCCCAAAGUCAUGGUUAAGUGGGAAACGAUGUGGGAAGGCCCAGACAGCCAGGAUGUUGGCUUAGAAGCAGCCAUCAUUUAAAGAAAGCGUAAUAGCUCACUGGUCGAGUCGGCCUGCGCGGAAGAUGUAACGGGGCUAAACCAUGCACCGAAGCUGCGGCAGCGACACUGUGUGUUGUUGGGUAGGGGAGCGUUCUGUAAGCCUGUGAAGGUGGCCUGUGAGGGUUGCUGGAGGUAUCAGAAGUGCGAAUGCUGACAUAAGUAACGAUAAAGCGGGUGAAAAGCCCGCUCGCCGGAAGACCAAGGGUUCCUGUCCAACGUUAAUCGGGGCAGGGUGAGUCGACCCCUAAGGCGAGGCCGAAAGGCGUAGUCGAUGGGAAACAGGUUAAUAUUCCUGUACUUGGUGUUACUGCGAAGGGGGGACGGAGAAGGCUAUGUUGGCCGGGCGACGGUUGUCCCGGUUUAAGCGUGUAGGUGUGUGUUCCAGGUAAAUCCGGUUCACUUUAACACUGAGGCGUGAUGACGAGGCACUACGGUGCUG